UACGAGGGAUGCAAGCGUUAUCCGGAAUUACUGGGCGUAAAGCGUGCGCAGGCGGUCUUGUAAGACAGUCGUGAAAUCCCUGGGCUUAACCUAGGAACUGCGAUUGUGACUGCAAGGCUAGAGUGUGUCAGAGGGGGGUGGAAUUCCACGUGUAGCAGUGAAAUGCGUAGAGAUGUGGAGGAACACCGAUGGCGAAGGCAGCCCCCUGGAAUAACACUGACGCUCAUGCACGAAAGCGUGGGGAGCAAACAGG
rnacentral:rRNA from 1 species